rnacentral:rRNA from 1 species
GACGAACGCUGGCGGCGUGCCUAAUACAUGCAAGUAGAACGCUGAAGGAGGAGCUUGCUUCUCUGGAUGAGUUGCGAACGGGUGAGUAACGCGUAGGUAACCUGCCUGGUAGCGGGGGAUAACUAUUGGAAACGAUAGCUAAUACCGCAUAAUAGUAGAUGUUGCAUGACAUUUGCUUAAAAGGUGCAAUUGCAUCACUACCAGAUGGACCUGCGUUGUAUUAGCUAGUUGGUGGGGUAACGGCUCACCAAGGCGACGAUACAUAGCCGACCUGAGAGGGGGAUCGGCCACACUGGGACUGAGACACGGCCCAGACUCCUACGGGAGGCAGCAGUAGGGAAUCUUCGGCAAUGGACGGAAGUCUGACCGAGCAACGCCGCGUGAGUGCAGAAGGUUUUCGGAUCGUAAAGCUCUGUUGUAAGAGAAGAACGAGUGUGAGAGUGGAAAGUUCACACUGUGACGGUAUCUUACCAGAAAGGGACGGCUAACUACGUG